AGGAUAAAAUUAUAAGACGAGAAGACCCUAUGGAGCUUUAAACAAUAUAGCAUCUGCCCCCGACAUAAAAAUUUCUGAAUCUUAAACCCGUUAGGCAGUAUAACUAUAAGUUUUUGGUUGGGGUGACCACGGAGCAUAAAACAACCUCCACGCUGAAAGAAUCUUUUUUAAGCUAAGAAUUACCUAUCUAAGCAUCAAUUUAUUGACACCCAUUGACCCAAUAUAUUUGAACAACGAACCAAGUUACCCUAGGGAUAACAGCGCAAUCCACUUCAAGAGCCCCUAUCGACAAGUGGGUUUACGACCUCGAUGUUGGAUCAGGGUUUCCCAGUGGUGCAGCCGCUACUAAAGGUUCGUUUGUUCAACGAUUAAAACCCUACG
rnacentral:rRNA from 1 species